rnacentral:rRNA from 1 species
AGCAAGGUGCUGCAUGGCCGUCGUCAGCUCGUGCCGUGAGGUGUUGGGUUAAGUCCCGCAACGAGCGCAACCCCUAUCUUUAGUUGCCAGCACAUUAUGGUGGGGACUCUAAAGAGACUGCCUGCGCAAGCAGUGAGGAAGGUGGGGAUGACGUCAGGUCAUCAUGGCCCUUACGCCUAGGGCUACACACGUGCUACAAUGGGCGGUACAGAGGGUUGCUACCUGGUGACAGGAUGCCAAUCUCAAAAAGCCGCUCUCAGUUCGGAUCGAAGUCUGCAACUCGACUUCGUGAAGCUGGAAUCGCUAGUAAUCGCGUAUCAGCAAUGACGCGGUGAAUACGUUCCCGGGCCUUGUACACACCGCCCGUCAAGCCAUGGAAGUCAGGGAGACCUGAAGACAGUGACCGUCAAAGGAGCUGUUUAGGGUAAAACUGGUAANCUGGGGCUAAGU